rnacentral:rRNA from 1 species
ACGCUCGACACCUACGGGAGGCAGCAGUGGGAAUAUUGCACAAUGGGGGAAACCCUGAUGCAGCGACGCCGCGUGGAGGAAGAAGGUCUUCGGAUUGUAAACUCCUGUUGUUGGGGAAAAAGAGGAUGGUACCCAACAAGGAAGUGACGGCUAACUACGUGCCACAGCCGCGGUAAUCUGAGCGGGCUGGCAAGGC